AAUACGGAGGGAGCUAGCGUUGUUCGGAAUUACUGGGCGUAAAGCGCACGUAGGCGGCGAUUCAAGUCAGAGGUGAAAGCCCGGGGCUCAACCCCGGGACUGCCUUUGAAACUAGAUUGCUAGAAUCCUGGAGAGGUUAGUGGAAUUCCGAGUGUAGAGGUGAAAUUCGUAGAUAUUCGGAAGAACACCAGUGGCGAAGGCGGCUCACUGGACUGGUAUUGACGCUGAGGUGCGAAAGCGUGGGGAGCAAACA
rnacentral:rRNA from 1 species